GGGUUUUGUCACAGAAAACAUUUCAAGCUCCAGUCUUUUCUUCAUCAAAGCAUCCAAAGCUUAUCAUUUCGUCCCCAAUGGCGCUUCUCCAUCACCGUUAGGCAAAAUCCUAGGAAAAUUUCCCCUCUUCAGUUCCAGGUUUCCAAAUUUAUGGAGGACUUUGAUGAUGAUUUCGGGGAUUUAUAUGCCGGCGUCGAAGCACAGGCCAAUUCGGCCAUCAAUGGCGCACCGGACUUCGCUCACUUUUACACAGAACCAGAAGAAGAUGUCAUUGAGGAUAAUGGAAAGGCGAAAACCACUAGUCCUGGAACCGAUUCGAAGAAAUCCGAUUCUGACUGCGAGGAGUUGGGCGAGAAAGUUUCUGCUUUGGAUGAGAAUGAGGAUGACAGUGGAAGUGAUAGCGAGGAUGACCUGAAAAUAGUGCUGAAUGAUGAGGACUACGAGGGCAAAGUGUUUCCAAAUGGCGGCCGAGGGCGCGUGAAGAAUGAUGAGCAUGAGGAUGAGCAUGGUGAUGGGUUUCCGGCUACGAAAGAGUAUAAGUACAUAAGGACUCAAGGACCAACUUCUCUAAGCAAUGGAAAAGGCAGUGAGGCUGUGGGUUCAGCGUCUUCCAUGUCGGUUAGAGGAGACCAUGAAAAUAGUUUGUGCUAUCAACGCAAGGGUUUGAGCUCUCAGAUUAGUUGUAUUGGUGAUACACCUAAUCAAAUGGUGCCUCAAAAUAGAUUUGGUUUCAGACUUCCUUGGUACCGGACCAUACUUGACGUCAACAUUGAAUCGUUUGAGGAGAAGCCAUGGAGGUAUCCUGAGGUUGAUGUAACAGACUAUUUCAAUUUCGGUUUGAAAGAGGACAGUUGGAAACAGUACUGUAUCUCCCUGGAACAACUACGGCUAACAUCUAUGCAGUUUAGGAUCCCUGUCUCAAGAGCUUCAAAACUUUAUCAGGCUAAAGAAGCUGGAUCUGAGUAUGAUACAUUCGCCCAGGAAACUAUUUAUAAAGAAACGAACAAUGCUGGACCAAGAAAGUUUGCUCCUCCAUCUAGAGAUUCUGAUUCCAGUUUCAGAGAGUUGGAACUACCAAAGGGAAGAGCAAUUCAGAUUGAAGAUAGUAUGGUUGAACGCCAACCAUCUUUUGAUGGUAGGCAUCCACGUAGUUUGGAUGCUGAUGUUGUGAUACAGAUUGCGGUGCAGGACGGCACUGAGGAAACUACGAACUAUGGUGAGGAACAGGGCCAUACAAAUUGUACGGCACGUGAGGCAUCUGAAAAUGGGGAAUGUAAUGCUAAUGGUAACCGAACUAUUCCUGCCAAAGAAGAUGAUUUAUUGGUUGGAACUCCAGAAGGAAACACAAGGAUAGCAGACAGUUGUUCCCGGAGGAUCAGUGCCACUCAUCCAAUGACAAUAGAUUCUGAUCAAAGAAACGACCAGUUUGUUGAUCUGGAUGGGUAUGACUAUAAGCAGGGGAAUGCUGUCUCAUUGGAGACUACAGAAAUUACAAAUAAAACAAAUGACAGUGUUGGUGGGGAUACUUUAUAUGUUGAUCAAUGCAUGAUGGAAGCACAAUUAUCACUUGGUGAUGACAAUCAACUUAGCCCCACUUCCUUUGCAAGUGAUUCUGAGGCAUCCAAGAAUAGUGUUCAUUUUGAUCCAGAAGAUAUUAAUACUCCUGCCACAUCAUCUUUUAAGAACCCAAAAGGCAAUGGCAUCAAGAGAAAAAUAGUUGAUAUCAAAGAUUACUCCAUGCAUAAAAGUCCUGCUCGAAAGGAGCAUAAACAUCAGCAAAGGAGGCUUGACAGUGUUGUUGAACCAAAGAUUCAUAUUAUAGAUGAUGAUGCGUCCCCCACCUCAGAAAUGGACGACCUUUAUGACAGGAAUAACUUAUUGGAUUCUAGCAGACGGAAGAAAAUUCUGCCAGACUUUGGCUGUAGUGAUGGAGAAGAUAUUUCAUAUUAUAAGGAAUCAAGGCAUUAUGGUAGGAGACAUGCUGACAAUCAUGUUCAUACCGCUAAAACAAACUAUUUGGACAGAAAAGGUAGUCACAAUAUCCAGGACAAGGUAAGUCCAUAUUUCAGAAAAAACUGGAAUGAAAGGGAGUAUUUUUGUGAAGAUAGGGAUACAGAUUGGCAUCGUUUUGGAAGAACACAAUUCACUAACGAGAGGAGUCUUCUCCCGAACAGGGAGUCCAGGGGCUGGCACUCCAAGUAUUCCCCACCCACUGUUAAAGAAAGGGAUGCACAAUUUAAAAGGAAUGCCAACAAACUGCAGUUUAAGAAAAUACCCAACCAUGGUGGUGGCUGUUUCGGUUAUAAACGUGAAGAUGAUGACUUUGUGGGAGAAAAAUUUGGGAGAUGUGCUUCAUUUACUGGCCGAAAGAGGAAUACUUUGGAUGAAUUUAAUGAAAGGCAGUUUCCUCGGCUCAGGAGAGAUUUAGGGGGAAGGGAUGGAUAUGUUAACAAACCCGUUUUUGAUUGGGAUGAUUCAUGGUCUGGGAAAAUUGAAGAUGAAUAUUGCAGAAAUGGAGAAAAUCAAUACUUGUCCGAUCAGUUGUACAGAGAUUUACACGCAGGUGAAGGAAGAUGGAAUGACUCUCCAUCACCAAGAAAUGAUGUUUCUUACUCAAUAACUGAUGAAAGAUAUGGGAGACGUGAACGAGAAAUAUACUCUGCUGAAUCCAAAGAGAGUAACUGGUUUGAUCAUCGUUAUGAUGCUGAUGAAAUUGAUGAUAUCGUUUAUCCAAGUGAUCAGUUUAAGUGGAGAAGAUCUAACUGGCGAUCCUCGGUCCUACACUGGACUGAGGAUCAGUUAACUGUCAGGCACCAUGAUGACAAAUUGUAUUCUGAGAGGUCAUCCCGUUCAUAUCAGAAAUAUGUAAGACAUGAAAAAUUUCAUGCUAAAUAUGGUUCCUACAAUGAUGCAAUGCAUGUUGAUAUGCUAUCAGAGCACGAUAGAUUAGAAUUGAAGAGAAAAGGAAGUAGUACUCUCUGUAUUAAUAGUAGUUCUAAGAUGUAUAUCGGUAAGCAUGAGCGGACAGCACUGAGGUGCAGAGGUUCGAAUGACUUGGUUGUUGGAGAAGGAAAGGUACAGUUGGGGGAACCCAAGGUGAAACCUUGUAUCAUUGUACUUGUAUAUAUGAGUGCUCAACAAGAGUUGAGGAAGCCUUUCUUAUUCUUUUUAAUGCUAUCUCAUUGCAUUUUUUUGCUCCUUUUCUCUAUUUUUUUUUCCUUUUCUCUUGUAUCGUAUUUUCACUUUCCUCUCUCUCAAGUAAUGUGUUGCCUGUAUGUUCUUGAGUGUUGGUUCCCGUUCAGGUAGGCCUUGUAGUCCAGUGUGUCAAGCAUGUAAUGUGGGGGAAUAAGGUUUCCCGUCAAUCAUCAAGGCAUUAUUGUAUAAUCUUCUUUAUGUUUCCUAUUCCUCGUUAUCUGUCAGGAAUUCAGGGUAAAGUUGUCUUGUCAUGCUUGUUGAUUUCAUGGAGGUUGACAAGUGAGACUGCUUUACACCUUACAAAUCAAAAGAUAAUGCUAAAUAUUUGAGUAAAAUAGUGUUUUAAAUUGGAUGGUGGACAAUAACAAUAGGUGUUUCUCGAGAUAUCUUUCGAGUUAGCAGAAUCUAUAGUAUAUAAGGUUGCAAACUUGCAUGAAUCCAACAUACAUUUUUAUUUAAUUCUCUUGUUUGUUUUCAAAUUUGCUCUGUUUGUUUAUACUUCAUACUCUGGCCAUCUUCCAAGGACAUGCCAGUCAGCCAUGUACAAUGUCCUACUGGCAGUCUGCUCUUUCUUUUCUAUUGUGAGUAUCCCCACAAUGUACAGACAAUUUAGAACUCUUAAGCUUUGUUAGGCAGUUUAACAACUGAAUAUUCAACGUGAAAAUCAAAUAUUCGUGUUUCUUAGAUCAAAUCUCAGUAUCAAAGGGAAAAAAGAAAGUUCCCGUCUCCUGGAUUUGAUAGAUUAGAUAUCCUUUGAACACAAGUGAUACUUAUUGAAUGGUCACUUUAAUUACCUUAGUUUGAACUCUUUUACAUCUGUCACCUAUUUGAAGACACUUUAACGGAUGUUGCAAGGUCUGUUUUAUAUGCAGACGAUGUACUCUAUUUUAAUUAUUGUAAUAAUAUACAUGUCCUAGUUUUGUGAUUUUGCAGUCUAGACAUAAGGGCAAUUUGAUAUGGAUGUCCUCUGGAUUAUUAUGGUCCUAUUCAUCUUGAAAUUACUACGACCGUUACAUUUUGGACAGCUUUUGUGGUCUUCGGGCUUAGGGUGGUUUUACUUCCAUCAAUGCAAUAGGUGGGAGAUGUUACUUGCUUAUUGUUGAUGAAGCUGUUGGUAUGCGGUAAUGUAUGGCAUUCAUAAGGAAGGCUAGAAUUGAAGUCCUCUGUAAGAAGCUACAAACGUGGAACUUUGAUUCACAAUGGUAGGCUGGAAAAUAUGGAUCCAGAGAUUGGUGGCGAGCAGACAACUUUAGCGGAUUCUAGUGAAUCAAGGACAGUCCAAU